GUCUGUGUUCCUGUCUGUGUGUGUCGGUCUGUAUGUAUGUCUGUGUGUGUCUGUCUGUAUGUAUAUAUGUGUGCCUGUUUGUAUGUAAAUGUCUGUGUGUAUGUGUCUAUGUGUGUGUGUCUUAUGUAUGUGUGUGUGUGUCUGUCGCAGGGAAUAAGGAGGGGAGGGGGCCCAUAGGUCAUUUUUGCACCGGGGACCCAUGGUUUGUGUGUACGCCACUGAGACUGGAUGUCC